rnacentral:rRNA from 1 species
CAAUAGCGUAUAUUAAAGUUGUUGCGGUAAAAAAGCUCGUAGUUGGAUUUCUGCAGAAGACAGCCGGUCACCUCUACGAGGUUGUAUCUGGUUUGGCUUUUGCAUCCUCUUAGGACACGGUACUGCGCUUCACUGCGCGGAUCGGGACCUAAGACUUUCACUUUGAGGAAAUUAGAGUGUUCACGGCAGGCAAUCGCCUUGAAUAUGUUAGCAUGGAAUGAUAUUAUAGGAUCUUGGUUCUAUUUUGUUGGUUUCUAGAGCUAAGGUAAUGAUUAAUAGGGACAAUUGGGGGUAUCCGUAUCACUCCGUCAGAGGUGGAAUUCUUGGAUUGGAGUGCGACGAACUACUGCGAAAGCAUUUACCAAGGAUGUUNUCAUUNA